GAUGAACGCUGGCGGCGUGCCUAAUACAUGCAAGUCGAGCGAACAGAUGAGGAGCUUGCUCCUCUGACGUUAGCGGCGGACGGGUGAGUAACACGUGGAUAACCUACCUAUAGGCUGGGGUUAAUUUGGGGAACCGGGGGUAAUUACGGAUAAUAAUUUUGACCGCCUGGGUUCAUAGUUAAAGACGGUUUUGCUGGUAACUUUAGAUGGAACCGCGCCGCAUUAGCUAGUUGGUAAGGUAACGGCUUACCAAGGCAACGAUGCGUAGCCGACCUGAGAGGGUGAUCGGCCACACUGGAACUGAGACACGGUCCAGACUCCUACGGGAGGCAGCAGUAGGGAAUCUUCCGCAAUGGGCGAAAGCCUGACGGAGCAACGCCGCGUGAGUGAUGAAGGUCUUCGGAUCGUAAAACUCUGUUAUUAGGGAAGAACAAAUGUGUAAGUAACUAUGCACGUCUUGACGGUACCUAAUCAGAAAGCCACGGCUAACUACGUG
rnacentral:rRNA from 1 species